rnacentral:ncRNA from 1 species
AUAUUUAUAUGGUAUAUAAAUUUUUUAAUAUAAAGGUCUUUAUGUGAUAAAAUAUAAGUUUUAUUUAUAGAAGAUAGAUUUUUUUAUUUUAGAAUAUAAAAAUAGAAUUUAGAUUAGGUUUGGCGAUGCCUGUGCCAGCCGCCGCGGUUAUACAGGCAAACUAAGAUUGUUUUUUUCGAAAAAGAUAAGAUUUUUUUAUUUUAAUUUUUUUUAAAAAGGUGAAAUUUUUAAAAAUUUUUUUAAAAGUUGUUUUCUGGAAAUUCUAUAAUUAAACUAGGAUUAGAUACCCUAUUAUAUAAAGGACAAGAUGUUGGUAGUAGAUAUAGUUUAUGAAAUCAAAAGAUAGUGGCGGUAUUUUAAGCUCAUUAGAGGAAUUUGCUCUUUAAUUGAUAAAACACCGAUAUCUUACUUGGGUUGGUAAAGACAGUUUGUAUAUCGCCAUCAUUAUUAAGUUAUAUUGAAUGAUAAAUAAUUUAAAAAGAAAUUUUCUAAAAUGUUAGGUCAAGAUGCAGUUUAUACUUAAGGUUGAAGUGAGUUAUGAUAAUUAAUAUUGGGUAUAACAUGAAAAUAAGUUUAAGAUUUAAAAGUAAUAAAAAAUUAUAAUGUUUUUAUGAAGUGAGCUCUAAAAUAUGUACAUAUCGCCCGUCGCUCUCAAUUAUUGAGAUAAGUCGUAACAUAGUAAGUAUACUGGAAAGUGUACU